rnacentral:rRNA from 1 species
UACAGAGGUCCCAGGCGUUGUUCGGAUUCAUUGGGCGUAAAGGGUGUGUAGGUGGCGCUGUAAGUGGGGUGUGAAAUCUCGGGGCUUAACUCCGAAACUGCAUUCCAUACUGCGGUGCUUGAGGACUGGAGAGGAGACUGGAAUUCAUGGUGUAGCAGUGAAAUGCGUAGAGAUCAUGAGGAAGACCAGUGGCGAAGGCGGGUCUCUGGACAGUUCCUGACACUGAGACACGAAGGCCAGGGGAGCAAACGGG